AACACACAUGUCAAUAAAAAAAUUCAAAGUGCAGGGCAGUGGAGAUAAAAUAAAAUUUUAUAUUAUAUUAAUCGUUUCUUCAAUAGAAAUCUGUUUCAUUCGGUGCUUAGUAAUGAAGAGCAUUAUAUAAAGUUACAGUGAUUCAAUUUAAAAUGUUAUUACUUAUUUAAAAAGAAGAUAAACAACAUGGAUAACACUUUAUCUGAUGGAUCUUCAAGCUCUCCUUCUCAGAGUAACUUUGAAAUCUUAGACUAUGACUUCCUGCCACAAGAGUGGACAUUGGAUGCGCUGAGGCAGUCGGCGCUGCAGCAGCGGCUAGCGCGCCCUCGCAGCCUGGGAUGGGCUAUCAUGCUGCACGCGCUGCCUUCAGCGC